UACGAAGGGGGCUAGCGUUGUUCGGAAUUACUGGGCGUAAAGCGCACGUAGGCGGAUUUGUAAGUCAGGGGUGAAAUCCCGGGGCUCAACCUCGGAACUGCCUUUGAUACUGCAAGUCUCGAGUCCGAUAGAGGUGAGUGGAAUUCCUAGUGUAGAGGUGAAAUUCGUAGAUAUUAGGAAGAACACCAGUGGCGAAGGCGGCUCACUGGAUCGGUACUGACGCUGAGGUGCGAAAGCGUGGGGAGCAA
rnacentral:rRNA from 1 species